GGACCUAUAGCUCAGGGGUUAGAGCAGUCGGCUCAUAACCGAUUGGUCCCUGGUUCGAUCCCAGGUGGGUCCACCA
rnacentral:tRNA from 1 species